rnacentral:lncRNA from 1 species
GAUACGGGGUUGCGCGCGGACCAAGAUCGAGUUGCCAAGUCACGGGAAACUCCUACGAAAACCCUAAACAAUUAGAUCUGAAACGAAACAGAAAAUUAAAAGAUUAGAUUUUUAAAUUUUCAGAUCUGAAAUAAAAUCCCCAAAACAGUAAAGAAUCAAAUAGAGAAUAGAAAUAAGUGUUAAUAAAGAAUCUUGAAACCCUAGAAGAGAUUACGAUUCUGCCCAAUUGAACACCCAGAUAGUUUUCCCCAAAUUUCGGCAAUCUAAUUUCUCCCAAAAAAGAGUAUGGAUGAAUCGGCAAGAACCCUAGAAAUUGGGGAUUUUUGGGCUAAUUCCUUAAGAUAGAAAAAGGCUGAAAACACAAUAAGAACAGAAAAUAAAUUAGAUAAAGAUUCGGCACAAGCAGAAAUAAAGAAAGAAUUGAC